CCGGCCGCCCGGGAUGUCAGUUAGCCGCAAGGCUAACAAGGCAUCUGCCCUGGGCAUUUGGGGGGCGGCGUUUUUUGCCGCCCCCUGAAAAAUGCCGCCCAAGGCAAAUGCCUUGUUUGCCUCGCGGCUAAUACGUCCCUGCCUGGCACCCAGACCACUUCAUUAAGCUGAAGUGGUCUGGGUGCCUAGAGUGGUCCUUUAAGUCUGUAGGAGUCAAAAUUAUGAAAGAAUCCAUGUGGGGCUAAUUUGGAAUUUGAAUUUGGCAAGUUCUACUUGACAUCAGCUGCAGGGCCCAGACCAAGUUAGCUUCAACUAGUCCAUAAUCUGGCUGAAAAGAGAGUCUUGUUGGUGCCUACACAUUAGCCUCAAAUCCACGUAAAACAUAGCCUGAGUUUGAACAUGUAGACAUUGCUCUAUCUUAAAUUGUUGGAACAGCAAACUUUUAGUUGUCUGAAAAAGCAUUCCUGCCUUUCUCAUUGAAUUCUGCUUAUUAAAAAAUAAUUUUCAGGAAGAGUUUUCAAAAUGGCAAACUCUGCACCAGCUUAGAUAGCAAACAUGAGAGACUUUAUAAACAGUUUGAGCUUUUUCAGAAAAUGCAAAAUGCACCGAGUAAUUAUUAAUUAAAUUUGCUUAGGUGGGAGAAUCCUUCAUAAAUUGAUAUUUUGAAAUAUUCUAAGAUUAGCUAAGCCUCUUUUAUUUGUAAUAUUUGCAGCAUUUGACUUUAGAAAAAAAAGGGUUUCUGAAUUCACUGGGGGCAUUUUUAUUUUUUUAAGUGAAGUAUUAAUACGUUUGUUUUUUUACAGAAGUUCAUAGUAACUCAUAACAUUUUACUAAAUAUUUUUUUUAUGUUAUAGAAUUAUAAUGCAUGUGCAAAAUGAGGAACAAUGCAUCUGCGUCAUGUAUUCGCCAGCUGUAGCUACAGAAAAUAUGAAAAAAGUUUUAGAAAAUAAAAUCUAAUGAUAUAAUUGAUUAAAAAGGGCACUCUAGCCCAUUUACGUGAAAAUGUGCAACCCUUAUCCUUUUAACUGUAGAAGUAGCUUCAUGUCUAUAAAAAGAACUGAGUUGGAGAAUAUAUCGAAUUCAGGUAUUUUAAAAUACUUUAACUUCCCAACAAUUCCCACUUUAGUAAAUAACUCUGUAUGUACUUAAACAUGUGUUGAAUGAGCGGGUAUAGCUACUGUUCUACCUGCAUAAUUUAUACGCAGUGGUUCUACUUUCAUUGCUCAGUUGUAUCUAGCUGACUGUGUUUAUAUUUUAGGUAAUACAUUACUGCAUUUUAUUUACCUCAAACCUUAUGGAGUUGUGAGAAUACCUCAUUGUUACUGUUUGUACAUUUAAUACAUUUUAGGAAUGUUUUAUGGACCGUUGGUUGUCUAACCCACAAUACCAGAUUUCCCACAAAGCACUUGUCAAGCGUAUUAAGGUUUUAGUGGCACGGUAGCAGGUGUAAGCACAUGGUUCCUUGGCAAAUCCAACUUCAAUUUGCCCGAGGCCAUUUUGUGAAAUGCACCCACUUUGUAUGUUUUCAUGCAUGGCACCUGUUUUAAUUUGCAUCUAAGCCGCGUAGACCUCUAUCCGUAGUCCAAAACCAAAGGGUUACAGUGCAGUUGUCAAUUAAAGAGUAGUAAUGGGGACUGGUGUGGUAACCAACUUUAUGGUGUGUAGGUGUGCAUUGAUGUACUUGGAAGUAGUGUCUGGUAGUUAAACUAGUGACUGGUUACAUUUCUUAUUCUAUACAAAUAAAAAGUGCAUUGGAGGAACGGAAUAGUUACAGUAAAAGAUAUAGUACAGACAUUCUUGCGUUUUUCAUUCAGUGUGACUUCAUCUAUACAUUCUUUGUUUUUAAAACAUUCAGUUUAUUUAUUGAUGAACUAAAAUGACUUGAACCUCAGAGGAAUUGAGUACAUUCAUAUCUAAUCAUGGUACAGCUCUCAAUUAUAAAGUGCCAUAUUUUACUGUAUUCAUUUGCGACAAGGGGCUAAUUUAUUUGCAUUUAAUAGUUAUCUAAAUUCCAAGUACCUCAAAUCAGAUCUUGUUUUUUUUUUUUAUCAUUUCCUUGAUUAUAUUAUCCUUAAUACAAACAAUAGUUGAUGAUUUUUGGGUAAGGAGACACACAUACUGUGAUGUGAAUUCGUGAUUGUGUCUAUCUCCUUGUAUUUUGGUUUGAAAUCUAAAUCUGUUUUUUUUUAAACUGAUUUUUAAAUUUUUAAACAAAUUUUUAAAAAUUGUUAAUUAUAAUGAUUUAAGUAUUUUUUUUAUUUUUUUUUUUACCUUUAAUGACUUCUAAAAUUUAUACUUAACUUACU